UUUAUAAAGGGAGCAAUGAUACAUAUCCUGUAAAUGGGCGCUUGGGAUAUGUGGAGCCGGUAGCGCAACCUCCCCUUUGCUUA
rnacentral:ncRNA from 1 species